GGGUUUGCGCAGGCGCAGAGCUACGUCCAAGCGGAACUGGGGCGUCCCGGGCUCCUGCAACCUGAACACCCGGUGUGAAAGCAAGCACAUUUCCUAAGCUAAUGGCAGGAGUUUCCCUGCAUCUGGUUUGAUCAUAGGAAGUUGGGGAAGUGAAGAUAAACAAGGAGUCACACAGACAAGAAUUUUGCAUUUGUCCGUCUUUAUAGCGGUAGAGGAGACGCCUUUGCCUUGUGAAAAACCUCAAGGCUGCCUAUCUCCUUUGGCUGUUGCGAAGUAAAAAACUAAAUGAUUCUCAUGUAAAACCCUGAAUCAAGACAAACUUUUGCUGGUGCAGAACUGAGCACUGUAGCCUUCUGCUUGAACCUCCUGCAAAUACCUUGUUCAGGAAUAGCUCAGCACUUUCAACAAUGACUUAGCAAAGAUAAUCCAGCUUAAGGCCACUACCACCAUUCAAGAAUCAAAAAGGAAGAAAUAGAAAAAGAACAAGUGAAGAAUACUCAUCAGAAAAAAAUAUUGCUGUAAAGAAGAUGAAAACAGGACUGAACAUUUUUUUUUUUUUAGUGGCCACACUCAACAGCAUGUAGAAGUUCCCAGGCUAGGAGUCAAAUUGGAGCCACAGCUGCCGGCCUACGCCACAGCCACAGAAAUGCAGGAUCCAAGCUGCAUCUGUGAUCUACACCACAGCUUAUGGCAACGCAGGAUUCUUAGCCCACUGAGUGAGGCCAGGGAUCGAACCUGCAUCCUCAUGGAUCCUAGUCAGGUUUGUUAUCAUUGAGCCAUGACGGGAAGUCCAGGAACAAACAUUUUGCUAUGAAUUUAAGAUCCUUAGUGGAAAUAUUUAGCACUGAGAGCACAAAACUGUGAUAUAAAAGGUCAGGGAAGAGACAGUAUAACUACAUGAGAAGACGCAGUGUAAGCUGAGUGGAAAGAAGAAUAAAUGAGAAAAUGAAACCAUCACUGAAAUGAAGGGGAAAUUGGAAGAAUCACAAGGGACGGUAAAGACUGGAAAACACAAUAAAGAAUUUAGAGCAAGAAAAUGAUUGAUAAGGAAAUCAAAAAAGGAAUGAAUGGCAUGUCUUUUUCAGUCUCAGAAGAGACAGUGAAAUACAGCCAAUAUUUAAUGAUAUAAUCCAAGGUAACAUUUAUGACAUAAAAAUAAACAUAAAUACACACAAAGUUGUAAGAAUAUUUUGACCAGAUUUUUGUUUUUUGGGGGGUGGAUGGGGGUGAGGGGGAGGCAUUAGGUUUCUUUUUUUGCUACAGCAAAGCCAUACGAUGGUAUUCAGUCAGGUUUUUACCUGAGGUCCUUAGUCAGCUGCCUAGAUACAGCUGAUUCAGAUAUAAGUGAGGUUUUUAGAUCCUCAAAGUAGUUACAUUAACUUUAUUUAGUCUGAUUAAAUAGGCUAAAUUGACUUCAUGCUUUUUGUUUUUUUAAAUUUACCCUCUUUUUUGGUAACCUUUGAAUAUGAAGAGAGUGCUUUAAGUAAGCCUUUUUUUUUAAAUAAAAAUAUUAGAAAACUUAAAACUGUUUCUCUAAGACAGGCUCACAAGGUAUUUCUUAAUCUGAAAGACUUGUUUUUUGAGGGUUGACACAUUUCAACUAAAGUUAGACAAAUUUUGGUUAUUGUUGGUUGACUGAGAUCAUUGAGUCUUAUCACUCCCUUGCUAAGUUUUUAAAAAUACCAAUGGCUGUUUGGCUUCAGAGGACAGAUAUCAAGUCUGUUCCAUCCACAAGUUACCUUAUAGUUUGGGCUUCCUUAACAAAAAGAUAAUUAAAAUGGAAAGUAGUUCAUACAUCUUGUUCAGUGCCAUUGCAUAAACUUGUUAAAACAAUUGGGCAUAUGAGACAAUUCAAAUAAAAGUAGAACUAUUUCAUACAGUUUCAUUCUAUGAAACAUUUUAAAUGGAAUAAAGCAGUAAAA
rnacentral:lncRNA from 1 species